UAUAUCAACCGCUUCUCUUAUCCCACCGUUUCCUCUCUAACUCUCCCUCUUCAUCUCCCCAUCUUCUUCGAACCCUAGACAACACAAGCCUUACAUCUUACCAGCACCGCCAUUAUCUUGCUAUGAUGAAGAACCAAGAACCCUAAACUCUUAACCAAAUCCUACCCUAUAACCCCGACCGAGAACCUCUAGACCCCUAAAUCAACCUUAUUUCACUCGACCGAUGAAGCACUCUGACGAAGGCUCAACUACUCCCUAAGGUAUGGGUGUGGUCAGGGCGAGCAUGGUCGAGAGUGAUGGCUUCGGUGGGUGGCCGACAGGCAUGGAUGGGCUCGGUGGAUUCGCGCGCCGGUGGCGCACUGUUUUGGGCAGAGUGCUGGCAUGGUCUGCUGACUGCUGUGUGUUCUGUAAUCUGUUCUGUUCAAUGCAUAUGCCACGUUAAAUUAUUCUGUUCGAUGCAUAUGCCACGUUAAAUUGUUCUGUUCAAUGCGUAUGCAAUGGUCUGAUGUCUCAAUCCCCCAUGUUUAUCUUAUACAAUUAUACCCUCUUCAUGUGAAGAAGUGGUCAAUGAUAUUGAUAACAUCGAUGGUUAUUACCCCUCCUCUCACUAGUCACUAUCCUAUAUUUGCCGAGUUUCUUCUUCCCCGUACCGUGAAAUUGAUAGAACCACCUACACAUACACAAGAGUACAAUUAGAAUGUCAUUUGUUUAUAUUCAAUCUAUCAUGUUUCCCCCUUCUUUGAAGCUUGUCAUAUUGUCAUUUCAUUCAGGAAUAUAUGUGUGUUUCGACUCUC